UUUAUUUGGUGACAGUGUAUUCUUUUUUCCAGAAGACCCCAGCGGUUCCAGGCGACCUGCAGCUUCCCCCAAGUCACAGGGGCCCAGUUCGCCUUCAGAGAGCAAAGAAAAUAAAAACUCAAGGAGCAUCUGUUUAAAAGAAAAACUCUUUUUGCAUACAAAUAGGAAAAUCAGAAAUUCUCCAGUAGAAACGAGGGAAUGAUGACAUCUGAGGGUCUGGUCCAAGAAGAGACAAAAGUUCUGAAACUUAAGACAAAAAUGGCUGAUAAAGAAAAUGUCCAUAGACCUACAAGGAGCAAAAAUAAUGUAACAAUGGGAAAAAAUUGUAUUCCGUUAAAACCUUCUAAUGAAUUAACCAAUUCAACUAUAGCCACUGAUAUAUAUAACUUGGAGAAUAAUCAAACUCUGCAGUUGUUACCAAUUACAAAUGAUCGCCAAGGUCAACGUAUGACAUUAAGCCAAGCGUUUCACAUUAAAAACAAUAAUAAAAAGAAACAAGUGACUACAGAAAAACCAAAGCAAGAUGCUAACGUGCUCAAGAAACCUGUGCUUGGAUCUUAUCGUGGCCAAAUUGUUCAAUCUAAGGUUAAUUCGUUUAGAAAACCUGUACAAGUCAAAGAUGAGCAUUCUGCAAUAACAAAGAAACUUUCAACUCCUAUCUCUAAGGCCACAAAACCUCAGCCUAUAACCAGGCCUGCUUCAUCUUCUAAUAUCAAACAGAUAGAAAAGUCAAAAACCAUUGACCAGUGCAGGCAUACUAUAGCAAAAGCAACUAUCAAUAGAAGGGCUCAGCCCAAAGAAACCGUAGAAGAAAGAAAAGCUCGUCUGAGUGAGUGGAGAGCUAGCAAAGGAAAAAUGUUGAAAAGGCCUCCUAGCUCAGUAAUAACCCAGCCUAAACCUGAAGGACAGAAUGAAAAACCAGUUGGGUCAUUUUGGACUACCCUGGCAGAAGAAGAUGAACAAAGAUUACUUACUGAAAAAGUAAACAAGACAUUUUCUGAAUGCCUAAACCUGAUUAAUGAGGGAUGCCCCAAAGAAGAAGUAUUAAACAUACUGAGUGACCUGAUUAAAAAUAUUCCAGAUGCCAAAAAACUUGUUAAGUAUUGGAUAUGCCUUGCACGUCUUGAACCACUCACAAGUUCUAUCGAAAAUAUUAUCUCAAUCUUUGAGAAGGCCAUCCUGGCAGGAGCUCAGCCUAUUGAAGAAAUGCGACAUGUAAUUGCAGAUAUUCUAACAAUGAGGAGUCAAGAAAAAGUUAAAUUUGGAGAAAAUCCUGAGGAGGCUUGUGCAACCAAGGAAAAAAUCCAAGAAGUCAACAUUGAAGAUAUUGGUGUUAAUCUAGAGUCAGGAAAACCUGAAAUGGAAAAUAAACAUCAUAGAAAUGUGGUAUUUCAAGAUUGUAAAAAAGAGCAAGUACACAAAACAAAAGAUCCAACCAAUGAUGUUAAAACCCCCAACAAAGAAACUAGGGGGGAUUGCUUAAUUAAAUAUAUUGUGUCUACUACACCAUACUUGCAAAGUGUAAAAAAGAAAAUGCAGUUUGACGAAAUAAAUUCUACAUCUAAAAAGCUCAAGUUUCUAACACCAGUUAGACGUUCUCAGAGACUUCAAAACAAGACUUCUAAAUUGCCUGAUAUGUUAAAAAACCAUUAUCCUUGUGUGUCUUCAUUGGAACAAUUAACAGAGUUGGAGGAUAAAACUGAUGCUUUUAUAUGCCGCCCUAAUGCAGCACUUGGCCGGAUGUAUUUGGAGACUGAAACAAUAGAAGACAAAUGAAGCUAUGAUAAGAACUAAGGAUUUUAUUAUUCCUGGGGUGUUUGUUGUGGGUUCAUAUGUAUUAGUUCAGGAGUUGGCCAUGUUACCUAAGUAUUCAUGGCAGUAAACUCCUUUAUAAUAUUCACAUCUAUGUUCUUUUAAUAUAAUUAAUAAAUGUCAUUCUAUUUUCAAUGGUA